rnacentral:lncRNA from 1 species
GACCUGCGGAGUGGGGCGGGGGUUGAGGUGCUCCGUGGGUUCGUGAAGCGGGCGGGAGCGGUGUCGCUCCUCCCCCGCGAGCUGAGAGGCUGCGAGGUUUAGGUCUGGGAUCCGCAAAGGCAGACCAGAGUCUCGCGAGAAACGCGAUUGCGGCUCAACCUGGGAAAGAGGUUGAGGCGCGGAAGGGCCGAUGUUCGUCCGUGGGCUGUGCCGGGUUUCUGCCUGGCCCUCGCGCGGAGGGCUAGGUUUCCUUUGUGCGUCACCCUUUACCAGAGAAGCGGGCACUUCCUGUUAGUCUAGACCCGCUUUAAUUAGCAGUAGUAAAAGUCAGUUUGCAAGCAUUGGAAGAAGACUUUUGUAAAGGAACUUUACACAACAUGGAUUCUCUUCCAGAAGAAUUUUUUGUGAGGGAUCCUGCUGUGGAGGAGCAGAUUGAAGAGGAAACUGAGAAUAAAGCAGAAAAAUCAACCAUUCAACUGGACAAACAGAAGAAGGACAUACCUACUGAUCUUGUCCCUGUUAACCUACUAUUAGAGGUGAAGAAAUUAUUAAAUGCAAUCAAUACUCUACCAAAAGGAGUGGUUCCUCACAUUAAAAAGUUCUUACAAGAAGAUUUUUCCUUCCAGACUAUGCAGAGAGAAGUUGCAGCCAGUAGCCAAAAUGAGGAAGAAAUCGUUCCUGCUUUAACUUUACGUUUUUUGAUAACACAACUGGAAACAGCUCUUAGAAACAUUCAAGCUACUAAUUAUACUGCACACCAAAUUGAUAUUGGUUAUUAUUUGACAUUACUGUUUUUGUAUGGAGUAGCACUCACAGAAAGAGGGAAGAAAGAAGAUUAUACAGAAGCAGAGAAUAAAUUUCUGGUGAUGAAGAUGGUGAUCCAAGAAAAUGAAAUUUGUGAAAACUUUAUGUCUUUAGUCUAUUUUGGACGUGGCUUACUUCGAUGUGCUCAAAAGAAAUAUAAUGGAGGGCUGCUAGAAUUUCAUAAAAGUUUACAAGAAAUAGGAGAUAUAAAUGAUCAUUGGUUUGACAUAGAUCCUACAGAAGAUGAAGACUUACCAACAACUUUUAAAGUAAGAAAUAACUUUAUCUGUAACCUAUCAGAAUCAUCUUUGAUAAAGUAUCAUUUAAGCCAACUACAUAAUAUUCUGGACGAAGCACUUUCUGUUAUUGGAAAUUUGCUUUUCAUAGAAAAACACUUGAGCUUUUAUUACCUAGGGUGCAAUGUAUGAUUCAACACGUAAGAAAAGUGUUGUAGUAAGCAAGAUGAAAUGAUUAAUAUCCAUGCUAGUCUGGUACUUUAUAUGGUUAGGGUCAAAUGUAAUAGUGAUUUUUAAACUUAUAUUUACCAUUAUUAUAUUAACUUGUAAACAGUCAAUGCUUUGUUCAUAAAAUUUGGCAAACGAUGCCCAAAGAUAAAAGUAAAAUUUAUACAUAUUUGUUCAAAUGGAGAAGCAAUU